ACCCAAUGGUUCCCUGUUUGCUCUUCAUUGUUGUCCUGACCCCUUUGGGAUGGGCCGUCCGUCAGCCCCCAGACAUGGUGGUCAUUCAGGGACAACGACUGACACUGAACUGCUCUCUAUCAACACCCCAAAUCAUGACCAUGUACUGGUACAAACAGGCCGUGGGGAAGGACGCAAGGCUGCAGCUGGUGGUGUUUUCUACAGAAGGCUCCGAUGCAAAUGUUGAGAAGCCAUUUCAAGGUCACUUCCAGAGCAGUGGGACAAAAAACUAUGUCCUGUCUCUGUCUACAGAGAGUGCCCAGGUGCAAGACUCAGGCACAUAUUACUGUGCUAAGCAAAAUCGUUCUUACAAUUCCCCGCUGAACUUCGGCCAAGGGACCCAAGUGACUGUCUUAGAGGAUGUGUCCAGCAUCACUCCCCCCGAAGUGGCCAUCUUUCCCCCAUCGAAGCAGGAGAUCAAAGAGAAGAGGAAGGCCACCCUGGUGUGCCUGGUCACAGGUUUCUACCCUGACCACAUCAACCUGUUUUGGUGGGUGAACGGUGUUGAGAGGAAAGAGGGGGUGAGGACGGAUGAAUCUCUUAUGUACAAAGAAAAAUACUCGCUGACCAGCCGCCUGAGGAUCUCACGCCAGGAAUGGUCCAACCCCAAGAACGUAUUCCAGUGCCGUGUUGAAUUCUAUGGGACUGAGAAACAAACAUAUGAUAAAGUCAUCAGUGGUGUAGCUGAUUGCAGUGUCUCAGAAGAGUCGUAUCUGAGAAGUGCCAUGGCAGGCAAGAGUGUGUACGUUCUGCUCAUUUUCAAGAGUGCCUUGUAUGGGGUCUUUGUGAUGGGGCUAAUGCUAAGGAACAAGCAAGUGCAGUAGAAGAAGCUGGCCCAAGGUGGAUGACACAACUUCCUGGAGAAAGAAGGAGCUGCAGCUGCAUUCGUUUUACAAGUCCUGAUUUUUUUCAGAAACCAGCACAGCACUUAAGCUUUUGUUACAAUAAAUGUACAAAGACAGCAAUUUGGGGUUGUCUGGCUGUAUUUGCUUGUUUGAAACAGCAGCUUUUAAUAAACAUUUAUGGAAUCC